rnacentral:lncRNA from 1 species
GGAGGCGGAGAGAGUGGGGAGGGCCCCGCUUUGGUCGCGAUCCGGUGGACACCAUCCCGGCGGGGAGGAGCCUUCCCACGAGGACAGAUGGCGACACACACGCCUGUUGGAGCAUCCUGAGGCCCGCCUCUGUGGCUUCUGUUGUGACGCAAGCGUUCCCUCCGCGAGUAGGGUCUGUGGCCGGGGCUGUGUCUGCGGGACUGGGAAGCUCUCCCGUGAGAGAUCACGCAGCGGGCAUCCACGAUCGGUUUAAUCAUUGCUCACUUCCAUUGGAUCAACUAGAAAUCAACUCAGAUGAGAGUGCUGAAUCUCAGAGGAUGGACGUCUCACCCUUUGCCAUACAGAUAAGCAGAAAGGGUGGUAUUGAAAAUUAAUGGCCAGACUCUAAGUCCCGGGCAAUAUACUUGAUGGUCUCCCAACCCUCAAAAUGUUUGGGUUCUUUUUUGUUUUUGUUUUUGUUUUUUAUUUUGAGAUGGAGUCGUUCUGUUGCCAGGCUGGAGUGCAGUGGAGUGAGCUCGGCUCACUGCAACCUCCGCAUCCCAGGUUCAAGCUAUUCUCUUGCCUCAGCCUGCCGAGUAGCUGAGAUGACAGGGGCCUGCCACUACGCCCGGCUAAUAUUUUUCUCUUUUUAGGAGAGACGGGGUUUCACCAUGUUGGCCAGGCUGGUCUCGAACACCUGACCUUGUGAUUCGCCUGCCUCAGCCUCCCAAAGUGCUGGGAUUACAGGCGUGAGCCACCGCGCCCAGCUUCCAAAAGUUUUCAACAGAGCUCAGAGGUCUUAACCACAAGCAUAUCAGAGGAGCAUUUUUGAAACACUUCCCAGCUUCCUCAAUAAGAAUGGAAGCCAAACCCCGAAUUGAUGACUCCUUUGAGGAAGUCGAGAGCUGUAAGGAAAGCUAGGAACAGGGCAAGGGAGAGAUGCAUCCUGAAUGAUCCUGUGCCAAUUAUUCCUGGAAUCCUCGAUGUGAUCUCAGCUGCCCUUUCCAUUCUUGACACAGUGAUUGUGGCACCCACUGGUCUAGCUGUGAUCUACAAGGAACCCCCAAAGGGAAGGGCACAGUGAGCAGGGACAUCGGCCUGAGUGACAAGGAUUUGAGAGGGCAGGUUGGAUGCAGGGAGAGGACUGGCCAAAUGCCAUGUGUCUGGACUUAGACUGCCUGGUUCAAAUUGGGCUUCACCCUUUUUGACGUCAUGAUCUGGUACAAGUUGUAACAAAAUAUGUUGCUCCUUUUCUAGUCUGUAAAAUCAUCAUGAAAUGUGCACUAAUAACUGGGAGACUACGCAGAUGAAAUGAAACAAGCUUCAACAAGCUGCAUAGAACACAGAGCUCAGAGCCUGGCCUUUAGGAAGCCCUCAGUAAGGGUUCAUGAUGCCAUGGUGUCUGUCAUCAUCCUCUUUAUCCUCAUCAUCACCUUCAUCAUCUUUUUGUUGUUCUGAGGGAACAGUUUAGAGGGACUCAUUCCCUGCUAUCAUGGGUGAGAUGUCUAUGAAAAGGACAACCAAUGGGGGAGGGAAGCAAAAUUUUGAAGAAGAUUCCUGAGAGAGAACCCCCACCACAAGCAAGAACAGGAACUCCACAGUCUGCUGAGCUGACAGUUUGCACAUUCGUCUCCUCCCGUCUUCCCACCGCACUGUCCUGUUUGUCCUGAGGAUGAGGAAACAAACAAGGCUCCCGACUGUCCCUCAGCACUCACUGAACUGCCCUUCCCCUCUGCUAGGCCACGACCACUGAGAACAGGUCCACUGUUCUCCCUGCAUGGUGCACAUUGGAGGCUCAGACUCCGUCCUCAAGGCUGGCCAGAAGACAGGGUGAGACAUGAGCCUCCCGAUACAGGUGACGGUUGUGGAGCCCACAGGACUGCAACCUCACACUGCAGGGCUGGAGGCACAGACUGAGUAUUUACUAUUCUAUGGCCUGGGGGGCUCAAGGCACAGAGCCCCUCAUUAGCCAGAGUCGCCCAAGUUCCCCAAGCUCUAAGGAUUUCCUCAUCAUCAUGCAAGAAGAAGAAGAGAAAAGCGAGUGUCCAUAGAAGCUUUGGGGCUCUUCCUCUAAUCAGGAGAGAGCUUGUGUGUAUUAUUUGCUUCUUUCUUUUCUUUUACAAGAUCCAAGUGCUUUAAUUUUCAUCUUUUAUUAUGGGAAAAUAUACCAUGUAUAAAUGCUAAAAAUUAUAAAUAUAGAUUAUUUCAUAUAGAAUGGC